GAUUAACGCUGGCGGCGUGCCUAAUACAUGCCAUUCUAGCGAACAGACUAGGAUCUUGCUCCUCUUACGUUAGCGGCUGACGGGUUAGUAACACGUGGUUACCCUACCUAUAAGACUGUGAUACCUUCUUUAAACCGGACCUAAUACCUUAUAAUCUUUUUACCCGCAUUGUUCAUUACUAAAACACGAUUUUGCUGUCUCUUAUAGCUGACUCCUCGCUGCAUUAGCUAGUUGGUAAGGUAACGGCUUACCAAGGCAACGAUGCGUAGCCGACCUGAGAGGGUGAUCGGCCACACUGGAACUGAGACACGGUCCAGACUCCUACGGGAGGCAGCAGUAAGGAAUCUUCCGCAAUGGGCGAAAGCUUGACGGAGAAACGCCGCGUGAGUGAUGAAGGUCUUCGGAUCGUAAAACUCUGUUAUUAGGGAAGAACAAAUGUGUAAGUAAAUAUGCACGUCUUGACGGUACCUAAUCAGAAAGCCACGGCUAACUACGUG
rnacentral:rRNA from 1 species